CAUAAUAAUCAGCAAAGGUGAAUUGAUUAAUACGUCGAAAAUCAAUAAUCUAACAGAGAAAGAUUGAACUUGUUUUGUUAACCAAUGUAACAAGUUAGUUGAGUUAUUAGGUGAUCUGGACUAACAAUAAGUUAAUAGACGAUAAUGUUGAAACAGUUAAAAGGCCAGUUUAAGAUUAUAUUGUUAUGUUUUCUUCUAGUUAACAACCCAAUCCUCUCUGAUGGACAAGACUUGAAUGAAGUGUGCUACGAAAUUUUCGGUUGCUUCAAAUGGACUAGGUUCAUCUUUUUCACACCCGAUUCACCUGAAAAAAUUGGGGCAAUUUUCCGAGUCUACACUGCUGAAGAUCCCAUCGAAAGUCGGCAAAUAAAUUACCAUAAUUCCUCCAAUUAUGAUAUUUUUAAUGAAACAACAUCUGUAGUUUUCAUCAUCCAUGGUUGGCUAGAUAAUGGACAAGAGUCUCGGUAUACCAACUUGUUUACACCUUUACUAGCAAAAUAUGAUGUAGUGGUGUCAGUGGACUGGAGUAAGGCUGCAAGUGGCCUUCUUUAUCCUAAAAAUGUCGCUAACUGCCAAUUGACAGGACGAGAAAUUGGUUAUCUGUUGUAUCGUUUACAAACUGAACGGGGUCUUGAUCUUUCUCGAGUCCAUUUGGUUGGAUUUAGUCUUGGUGCUCACAUUGCUGGUCUUGCUGGUCGAUGGCUGAAGCAACAGUAUAGCUUGACUUUAGGUCGAAUCACAGGCUUAGACGCUGCUGGACCUUUUAUUGAUGGUACAAUAAUUCAAAUCAAAAAGUCUGAUGCAGUUUAUGUUGAUGGGAUCCAUACAAGCUCUGGAUCGAUUGCCAGUGUUGUUUUGGGCAGGUUAGGAACGAAAACACCUUUUGGCCACAAAGAUUUCUAUCCAAAUGGCGGAUCUGAUCAACCCUUUUGUCCAUUUCCAUUUCUCAAUAUGACUUGUCGCCAUUAUGCAGCAAUUGACUUUUUCCUUUCUUCAAUAAAUCAAUGUGAAUACAAGUCGACCAAAUGCGAAUCAUGGAAACAAUUCACAAGCGAUAAAUGUGAUGAGCCACACACCAUUGCAAGAAUGGGAUUGAAAAGCAAUGAAGAUUCAGGCGAAGGUUCAUUUUACUUGUCAACAGGAAAAGAUUAUCCCUAUUGUUAAAAAUAAAAAUAUUUACAGUGUUGGCAAAUAAUUUAUAAAUCACAAUUUUAUUUAUUUUCAAAAUUGGUCAAAAUUAACAAGAUUACUCUCAGUAAAUUGAAGCAUAAUAUGACCAAAGAUUGGCCCAAAAAGUGUAAGUUGAAGCGUCAAAAAUUUGUCGAAUCGUAACUUACCUUUGAUUUUUUGAUUUACCCAAAAAUUGUAUCUUUUCAUCAACAACUGCAAGAGUUUUCAUUCAUCUGUUAAAUAUUUCCUAUUCUAGAUUCAGAUCUAUGGUUGAAACCCUUCAUUAAAAGGUUUACUCAAACGUUGACGUUAUGUUAUUUUAUCGCAUAUCUUUUGAUGGUCAAUUGUAGGCUCAAUGCAAUAAUAAAACAAUUGUUACAGCUAUUAUUAAACAAAAUGGUUGAAAUAAAUUACAACUUUAAUAAUAAUCAAUUUUUAUAUGAUUUCAAGUCAAUUUUAAAUUUACUUUAUCCAUCUUAUUGGUAUUGCCAGCCGUUGCAACAAUCAAGGACUUCAAUCAGUUGAUUUCUUGUUUAAUGUCAUUUGUUCAUAAUCAGUGUCUGAUUGAUCAUGGUAUGAUUUUCAUUCUCAAAUCAUUCAAACUAAAUGGUUAACGUUUAAUCAUUAUUGAAUAAUUUUGUCCACCUCAAGGUAUUUGCCAGCUUGCAUAAGCUACCAACUUUCCUCCUUCCUUGAAGGUGUAUUAGUCAAAUAGUGCACCGGUUCAUUUUGAUUAAGAAUUGAUUAAUUAGUCAGUCCAGUCCUUUUUUGCUGUAUUUUACUGUUCCUUUAUACUGUGCUUUUGAUUGUCACAUCUUGGUAAGAGCAUGAAUUAACCUUAAUUAUGUCCAUCAUGGUUGAGGAAAAAAAAGAAAUGCAUUUUUCUAAAUGGAUGAGUUGUAUUCUUGAAUAAUUUAGACAAUUUUGCAAUUAAACGUGAACAAUUUCCAUUAUUUUACAAUUUAUUUUAACAUUUUGAACAAUCACAAUCAAUCUGUGUCAGUUAAAUUACCAAUUAUAGCCAGAAAAGACGUCAAAGUGAUCGUCUCUGUCGAUUCAAUAGCUACACUGUAGAUUUGUGCUAACACUAGUUCAACUUGAAACAUAUGGUUUGUAAGCAUUAUACAAUAUCUGAAAGUAUCUCAAUUCAAACUUAUGUAGUUGAAUAUUUUUGAAAUAAAAUGUGAACCGACACAAGAAAUAUCACUCAUUUUAAACAUUAAAAGAAAGCUUGGCUAAAAAUAAGCAAAGUGGUCAGUUGAAUGGAAAGUGUUGAAGCUCUUGGGCCCUAAAUACAAAGUCCAAAAUACAAAUGAAAUGAUAAAAUAGAGAUGAGCUCAUCGAUGACAUGGCUUAUCCAUCGUUGAAUUAUUAAUGAUCAAGAAAAAUAUGAAUGUCAAUAGACUGUCUUUUCUUUUAUCAAUGAUAACCUCUGGCAAUCUUGAAUAAUGGUUUAGGAUUCCCUUGCAAGAAAAGUCCUGUUUUUUGGUUAGCAAUAUUUAAAACCGGUUUUAAAUGGGUACAAAAGGACCUUUAGCAGGUUAGCAACUAGCACUAGAAAAAAAGGCAUUUUGUUAUUCCAUUUUCAUCUCUUACUUUUCUUUCUUAUUUAUCUUCCUCUUUGCCAUUUUUUUCUUCUCUCUUCCAUUGGAUCUAGACUUGCAUAAUACAGUUUGGAUUUAGGUAGAUAAAGCACAUAAAUCUCCAUUGGUUUCGUUUUUCUAUGUUAACCAAUCAUCUUUAACAGAGGUUGUGGUUCACAUUGUAGAUCAACACGUAGACAGAAAGACACCAAUCAAAACUGUUGUUUAAUAAUCUGGUAAUCAAAGAGAGGAAGAAAAAAGUAAAACAAGUAUUAUCAUCAGUGUACAACUAAAUCAAUAAAAGGCAAGUUAUAUUAAAGCAUGGUCCCUAAUCUCUUCCAUCAUCAGUUGCCACUGCGAGACUCAUCUCGGUUUAUUAAGAAUCACGCCUUUCGUAACCCCUCAUCACUUCGCUUCUAUUCAUCUUACCUUUAUUGUUGUUUUUCAGUUUUAUUCAAAUUAAUCACUAUUUGUUUAAUCACAAUGCCACUUACCAACGGUAUCACCUCAACUCCAUCUAACCAACAUCCUCAAAUUGGUAAACCGGCACCUGUUUUCAAGGGUACUGCCGUGGUAAAUGGAGCUUUCAAGGAAAUCUCUUUGAAUGACUACGCUGGAAAAUAUGUUGUCCUCUUCUUCUAUCCUCUUGAUUUUACCUUCGUCUGCCCCACUGAAAUUGUUGCUUUCAGUGAUCGAGUCAGGGAAUUCCAAGAUAUUGGAUGUGAAAUUAUUGCUUGCUCUACUGACAGCCACUUCACUCAUCUCGCAUGGGUCAACACACCUCGAAAACAAGGUGGUUUGGGAGAAAUGAACAUUCCUUUGUUGGCUGACAAAAAUCUUAGCAACUCUUUAAGCUAUGGAGUCUAUCGUGCUGAUGAUGGUAUCACUUUCCGGGGACUCUUCAUUAUCGAUGAUAAAGGUAUUCUUAGACAAAUCACCGUCAAUGACUUACCCGUUGGUCGAUCAGUUGACGAAACUUUACGAUUGGUCAAGGCCUUCCAAUAUACCGACCGUCACGGUGAAGUUUGCCCUGCCAACUGGAAACCCGGAGACAAAACUAUUGUUCCUGAUGUACAAUCCAGCAAGGAAUAUUUCUCAAAGGCUAACUAAUUUCCUUAGACUUUCCGACUCAAUUGUUAUAUCAGCCAAGUCAAUUUCCCAUUGACCUUCACUAGCUCAUUUUAAGUUGCAGUUUUUUUUGAGUCCACUACCCUAUUCAGGAACACAAUUCAAUGAUAGGUGGGCUAAUUUAGGGCAACCUGAUUCCUUCCUUCUACAAUUGCUGUCUUUGUCCUUUACUCGGUUUUUAAUUGUUAUCACUACUAACUUUAAUUUUCAAUGUUCACAAAAGUGAAUCAGAUUUAAAUAAAAAAAUUAAAUUAAA